AGCUCCAAUAGCGUAUAUUAAAGUUGUUGCAGUUAAAAAGCUCGUAGUUGGAUUUCGGGAUGGCCCGGCCGGUCUGCCGCAAGGUAUGUUACUGGCCGAGCUGUUCUUCUUCGCAAAGACUGUGUGUGCUCUUAACUGAGUGUGCUCAGGAUCUGUGACGUUUACUUUGAAAAAAUUAGAGUGUUCAAAGCAAGCCAGCGCUUGAAUACAUAAGCAUGGAAUAAUGGAAUAGGACUUUGGUUCUAUUUUGUUGGUUUCUGGAACCUUAGUAAUGAUUAAGAGAGACAGUUGGGGGCAUUCGUAUUUCGUUGUCAGAGGUGAAAUUCUUGGAUUUACGAAAGACGAACUACUGCGAAAGCAUUUGCCAAGAAUGUUUUCA
rnacentral:rRNA from 1 species